rnacentral:rRNA from 1 species
AUUGAACGCUGGCGGCAUGCCUUACACAUGCAAGUCGAACGGCAGCACGGGAGCAAUCCUGGUGGCGAGUGGCGAACGGGUGAGUAAUAUAUCGGAACGUGCCCAGUCGUGGGGGAUAACGUAGCGAAAGCUACGCUAAUACCGCAUACGAUCUACGGAUGAAAGCGGGGGAUCGCAAGACCUCGCGCGAUUGGAGCGGCCGAUAUCAGAUUAGGUAGUUGGUGAGGUAAAGGCUCACCAAGCCGACGAUCUGUAGCUGGUCUGAGAGGACGACCAGCCACACUGGGACUGAGACACGGCCCAGACUCCUACGGGAGGCAGCAGUGGGGAAUUUUUGGGACAAUGGGCGCAAGCCUGAUCCAGCAAUGCCGCGUGCAGGAUGAAGGCC